GAUGAACGCUGACAGAAUGCUUAACACAUGCAAGUCAACUUGAACUUCGGUUUGGGUGGCGGACGGGUGAGUAACGCGUAAAGAACUUGCCUCACAGAUAGGGACAACAUUUGGAAACGAAUGCUAAUACCUGAUAUUAUGAUUAUAUGGCAUCGUAUAAUUAUGAAAGCUAUAUGCGCUGUGAGAGAGCUUUGCGUCCCAUUAGCUAGUUGGAGAGGUAACGGCUCACCAAGGCGAUGAUGGGUAGCCGGCCUGAGAGGGUGAUCGGCCACAAGGGGACUGAGACACGGCCCUUACUCCUACGGGAGGCAGCAGUGGGGAAUAUUGGACAAUGGACCAAGAGUCUGAUCCAGCAAUUCGGUGUGCACGAUGAAGUUUUUCGGAAUGUAAAGUGCUUUCAGUUGGGAAGAAAAAAAUGACGGUACCAACAGAAGAAGUGACGGCUAAAUACGUG
rnacentral:rRNA from 1 species